GAUGAUGGGUUCCCAGUUGUAAACUUUCGAUUUGCAGAUUCGCUUCCUUUGACAGUUUAUCCCCACGAUUAUCUUUUCCAAAUCGAAGAGAAUAGAUGGUGUAUUGGUUGGCAAGACAGCAAAAUGCAGACAAAGGAUGGAAGUGAAAUAACUCUGUUGGGAGGUAGUAUUUGACACCUUCUCUUUCUCUUGAGAGAAAUGCAUCUAAACUGAAGUAAAUCCU
rnacentral:misc_RNA from 1 species